rnacentral:rRNA from 1 species
CAGCCGUAAACUAUGCGCGUUAGGUGUACUGGUGACCACGAGUCGCCGGGGUGCCGAAGGGAAACCGUGAAACGUGCCGCCUGGGAAGUACGGUCGCAAGGCUGAAACUUAAAGGAAUUGGCGGGGGGAGCACCACAACGGGUGGAGCCUGCGGUUUAAUUGGACUCAACGCCGGAAAUCUCACCGGAUAGGACAGACAUAUGAUAGUCGGGCUGAAGACUCUACUUGAUGAUCUGAGAGGUGGUGCAUGGCGUCAG